CGUAGGGGGCAAGCGUUGUCCGGAUUUAUUGGGCGUAAAGAGCGUGUAGGCGGCUUUACAGGUCCGUUGUGAAAACUCGAGGCUCAACCUCGAGACGCCGGUGGAAACCGUAAGGCUAGAGUCCGGAAGAGGAGAGUGGAAUUCCUGGUGUAGCGGUGAAAUGCGCAGAUAUCAGGAGGAACACCCGUGGCGAAAGCGGCUCUCUGGGACGGUACUGACGCUGAGACGCGAAAGCGUGGGGAGCAAACAGGAUUAGAUACCCUGGUAGUCCACGCCGUAAACGAUGGGUGCUAGGUGUGGGCGGUGUCGACUCCGUCCGUGCCGAAGCUAACGCAUUAAGCACCCCGCCUGGGGAGUACGGCCGCAAGGCUA
rnacentral:rRNA from 1 species